ensembl:processed_transcript
GUGGAACCUGUUCUCGGACGCGCAUCUGUUCGCCGGCUCCACACACUCAUCCUUCUGCUUCCAUAGACUGAAGCAGAUUGCUGUUUAGUCAAACCUUCCCUAAUCCUCUAAACGUUACCUAAUUGUAAACUGCUCUGUGAAACGAGGACAAACAGACGUUCCCAACGACCAGAAACACACAACUGAAAAAUACCCUGAGUGACAAGAGUGGCUUUUAACCUCAGACCCCGAGCUG